GCUAUCUCCGGCCGAGCUGUCGGGUGAAGAGGGAGGAUGCAAGCGUUAGGCGGAAUUCCUUGGCGUAGAAGGUGCGUAGGUGGGAAUGUAAGUCAGAUGUGAAAUGCCGUUGCUCAACAACGGCCGUGCAUCUGAAACUGCGUGUCUAGAGGGAUAGAGGAGAAAACGGAAUUCCACGUGUAGCGGUGAAAUGCGUAGAUAUGUGGAAGAACACCUGUGGCGAAAGCGGUUUUCUAGCUUAAACCUGACACUGAGGCACGAAAGCAAGGGGAGCAAACAGGAUUAGAUACCCCGGUAGUC
rnacentral:rRNA from 1 species